GACGAACGCUGGCGGCGUGCUUAACACAUGCAAGUCGAACGGAAAGGCCCUGCUUUUGUGGGAUGCUCGAGUGGCGAACGGGUGAGUAACACGUGAGUAGCCUGCCCUUUACUUUGGGAUAACUUCAGGAAACUGGGGCUAAUACCGGAUAUGAGCUCCUUCUGCAUGGGGGGUGUUGGUAAGUUUCGGCGGUUGGGGAUGGACUCGCGGCUUAUCAGCUUGUUGGUUGGGUAGUGGCUUACCAAGGCUUUGACGGGUAGCCGGCCUGAGAGGGUGACCGGCCACAUUGGGACUGAGAUACGGCCCAGACUGCUACGGGAGGCAGCAGUGGGGAAUAUUGCAAAAUGCGCGGAAGCCUUAUGCAGCAACGCCGCGUGCGGGAUGACGGCCUUCGGGUUGUAAACCGCUUUCGACUGUGACGAAGCGUGAGUGACGGUAAUGGGUAAAGAAGCAACGGCUAACUACGUG
rnacentral:rRNA from 1 species